GACACCCUUACGUCUCGGCAUAUGUCGUUGCAUUGAAAUGUAGUAAUGCCCAGAAACGCAAACCCCAAAUCCAAGCGUGCUAAAACAACUAAAACCCCGAGAGUCGAAGAUCUGAGAGAGGCGUCACCGGAAUAAUCACAUUCACUUCCGGCGAAUGAGAAGGUUCACGUUGUUAACGCCGUUUCGGCGCCAUUUUCUUUCAUCUAUUGCAUCCGAACCUCUCCUUGAUAAAGGAAAUUCGUUCUCAAAAUUCUUCUCCUCUCGCCAAUCGUUGUUGCUUUCACGAACUUUGUUCGGUUGCAGUUUUGUAACGAAAAAGGAGGAGUCUAUAAUUCCGGGAAUUCCUUUGCGAUAUCGUUAUGUUCAUGCCACAGCAGCAUAUUCUUCUUCUGCUGAACGGGACUAUUAUCAGAUGCUUGGUGUUCCUGAAAAUGCCAGUCAGGAUGAGAUUAAGAAGGCAUUUCACUUGCUUGCUAAAAAGUACCAUCCAGAUGCGAAUAAGAAUAAUCCAUUUGCAAAGAGGAAAUUUCAAGAUAUACGAGAAGCUUAUGAGACAUUGAGAGACUCGAAAAAAAGGGCAUACUAUGACAAGAUGCGUACUCAUGGUUCAGAGAACACAGAAUAUGGUAAUGGAUAUGAUGAUGCAGAAAGAUUUCGAAAUGCUUAUCGUUCUCAUUUUUCUGAUUCAUUUCAUAAAGUAUUCUCUGAGAUAUUUGAGGAAGCAACAACUCAGUUCUCGUCAAAUAUAGAGGUGGAGUUAUCACUCACUUUCUCAGAAGCUGCGAGAGGAUGCACCAAACAUGUGUCAUUUGAUGCAGCAGUUCCGUGUGAUUGCUGCAAUGGACGGGGAUUUCCACAAAAUGCUACCCCAAAAGUUUGUCCAACAUGCAGGGGCUUAGGUCGAGUUACAAUCCCACCAUUUACAUCAACAUGCAUUACUUGUAAAGGAUCUGGCCGCAUCAUUAAGGAGUUUUGUUUGUCGUGUGGAGGAUCUGGGGUUAUUGAAGGGAUUAAAGAGGUUAAAGUUACAAUACCAGCAGGAGUGGAUUCGGGAGAUACAAUCCAUGUGCCGGAAGGUGGGAAUGCUGCUGGAAGUAGUGGUCGACAUGGAAGUUUAUACAUUAAAAUAAAGGUGGCCAAGGAUCCAGUCUUUGUGAGGGAUGGGGCAGAUAUCUACGUGGAAUCUAAUAUUAGCUUUACACAGGCUAUUCUUGGUGGCAAAGUUGAGGUGCCUACUUUAUCAGGGAAUAUGCAAGUAAAAAUACCUAAGGGUGUUCAACCAGGACAACUGCUAGCAUUUAGAGGCAAAGGACUGCCAAAGCAUGGGUAUUUUGUACAUCAUGGGGAUCAGUAUGUGCGUUUUCGUGUAAACUUUCCAGUUGCAAUCAACGAACGACAACGUGCUAUACUUGAAGAAUUUGCAAAGGAGGAAAUAAAGGAGGGAAGUAGUUCAAUAUUUGAAGGAAAUUGGUGGCAGCAAAUUCUUGAAUACACGACUGGUCCAAAGUUUAUGCUGGAACUAUCUGUGCUGAUACUAUUCCUUGUCUUCAUUAACAAAAUGUUGAGCUGAUCUGAUGGAUUGUUCAAAGUUUAAACAUGAUUGAAGUGGACUUGUCAAAAGACAAAUUCUCCUGAUUGCUGUAUUCUCCUUCCUUCCGGACUAUGUACAGUACAAGUUAUAGAGAUAUUGGAGCAAGUUUCGUCGAGAUCCAUUCAAUAUUGGAAUAAGUGAAUGGACUACGGAAAUCAAAUAUUUUUGUGGAAUCUGGUCCAUUUGAUUGUUGUUGAACAAUAUCAAUCAAAGAAUAAGAUUGCGAGUUAAACGAUGGUGAGAAUUUAUUUGAUGAAGAAUUCUUCCACAGUUUGACUGAUUUAUGUGAAGGUCAUCAAGGAUUUCAAAUCAACGAUGGAAACUCCCCGUGUAUUCUUUUUCCAAUAUAGUUUUCCUUGUUCAUUUAUUUUGUAAUCCCUUUUUGCAGAUAAUGGUUUCUUUAUUGUUGCAUGUUAUACAGUUAUAUAUAGUAGAUCAGGGUCCACUCAAUACGUUAUAAGGCGUUAUAAGGCAUAAAUUAAAAUCAUCAGACGAUAACUUUUUAAAAUGAA